GAACGAACGCUGGCGGCGCGCCUAAUACAUGCAAGUCGAGCGAGAAGACGUAGCAAUACGUUUGUAAAGCGGCGAACGGGUGAGGAAUACAUGGGUAACCUACCCUCGAGUGGGAGUAACUAGCCGAAGGUUAGCUAAUACCGCGUACGCUCCUUGGACUUCGGUUCAGGGAGGGAAAGGACGAUACCGUGGGUAGUCGCGCUCUUGGAUGGGCGUCAUGUCCUAUCAGCUUGUUGGU
rnacentral:rRNA from 1 species